rnacentral:rRNA from 1 species
GAUGAACGCUAGCGGCAGGCCUAACACAUGCAAGUCGAGGGGUAGAACACUUCGGUGUUUGAGACCGGCGCACGGGUGCGUAACGCGUAUGCAAUCUACCUUGUACAGGGGAAUAGCCCAGAGAAAUUUGGAUUAAUGCCCCAUAGUAUAUAACCUUCGUAUGUUGGUUAUAUUAAAGUUCCAACGGUACAAGAUGAGCAUGCGUCCCAUUAGUUAGUUGGUAAGGUAACGGCUUACCAAGACGAUGAUGGGUAGGGGUCCUGAGGGGGAGCUACACCACACUGGUACUGAGACACGGACCAGACUCCUACGGGAGGGAGCAGUGAGGAAUAUUGGUCAAUGGGCGCAAGCCUGAACCAGCCAUGCCGCGUGCAGGAAGACGGUCCUAUGGAUUGUAAACUGCUUUUAUACAGGAAGAAACCCUCCCACGUGUGGGAGAUUGACGGUACUGUAGGAAUAAGGAUCGGCUAACUCCGUGCCAGCAGCCGCGGUAAAAC